rnacentral:lncRNA from 10 species
ACCUGAGGUCAGGAGUUUGAGACUGGCCUGACUAAGAUAGUGAAACCCCGUCUCCACUAAAAAUGUAAAAGUUAGCCAGGCAUAGGGCCACUGUCCUUACGGCGGGCUUCAACCUGGGCUCAACCUGCACUCUCUUCCCAUCUGCAGCCCUGGAGGGAAUCGACUGCCAGUUUAAGGAGUCAUUGUCCAGUUCAGACUCCAGAAUACGAAACGUACAAACUUACAAACUUUCUGGAAUCAUCAUUUUUAUUAUUAUUCUUAAGUGAGGCAGAAAAGGCUUCCAAUACUUUUGAAGUCUUAUCAGCUGAGUUUUCAGAGGUAUUUACUUUCUUCAAUUUUCCCAUCACUAAUAAUUUGCUACAAUUUUCACCAGUUAUGAUUUUGUACUGCUAAUGUUAUAACACA